rnacentral:sRNA from 2 species
AAAACGGUAGCGCUUAAUUCUUUGACUUUUUCAAAGAAACGGGGGAACCAAUUCCAGGGGUGAAUCCUUUAGCCUUAAAAAAAGAUUAUCUUUAAAAGGAUCUAUUUGCGCUAAAGGUAGGGUUGCCCUUUAACCCGAACCCGUCAGCUAACUUCGUAAGCGUAAAAAGGGUAUUU